GUUUGACCUCGGAUCAGGUAGGGAUAC
rnacentral:rRNA from 1 species